rnacentral:tRNA from 1 species
GGGGGUGUAGCUCAGUGGUAGAGCGCGUGCUUAGCAUGCACGAGGUCCCGGGUUCAAUCCCCGGCACCUCCA